UGGAAAAUGGUGCAUCAGGGGCAGUUGUAAAUGUGGAAAUGGAAAAUGGUGCAUCAAGAGCAGUUGGAAAUUUGGAAAUGGAAAAUGGUGCAUCAAGAGGAGUUGGAAAUUUGUUUCGUAGACUAUGGAACGCCGCUAUAGAUAGAUAUAAGAGGCGGAUACAUGAUAGUCCCAAUUUGGAAAAUGAUGGGCUGGACAUGGCUCUGUAAAAAUUGAUAACUAGCUUAUAGCACGCUCGACUACUCGAAAACUCCUAAGUUAAACAAGGACUAUGGCUGGACAAGACUUGCAAAACCGUCUUUCAAACUAUUACAAUUUAAUACAAAUUAAGUUUUAGCUCCACUAUUCGGAGUAUAUACUACGUCGGCGUCGGCGUGACCCUUCUUUGUUAAAGUUUUUGUUUUUCUGUCAUAUCUUUGUUAAUAUUACUUAUAUCUUACUGUAACUUCACAUAAACAUUGUCAAGUAUGCUAAAAAAAUAUGUGUAGGGGCUGAGCCCAUAAUACCCAAGGUCAAGGUCACCAAGGUGUUAUACUUACGUUAUUUUUAAAGUUAAAGUUUUUCGGCAACCUUUGUUUUUCUGUCAUAUCUUUGUUACUAUUGCUUAUAUUUUACUGUAACUUUACAUAAACAUUGUCCGGUAUGCAAACAAAAUAUUUACAGGGACUGGACACAUUUUAUUCAAGGUCAAGGUCACCAAGGUCUUAUACUUACGUUAUUUUUAAGGUUAAAGUUUUUCGGCAACCUUUGUUUUUCUGUCAUAACUUUGUUACUUUUGCUUAUACCUUACUGUAAGUUCUCAUAAACAUUGUCCAGCAUACAAACAUAGUAUAUGCAGGGGCUGGGCCCAUUAUACUCAAGGUCAAGGUCACCAAUGAGUUAUACUUGGAAUUAUUUUCACGUUAAAUUUUUUCGAUAGCUGUAUUAAUAGACAUAUCUUUGGUUCUUUAAAAGAUAAUGACUUGCAAUUAAAUCUAUUUGUUUAUAAUCAUCAUCUGCAUGUGUGGUUACAUACCCAAUAACUCUAAUUGUAUUUUUGACAGAAUUAUGCCCCUUUUGUACUUAAACAUUUUUUGCAAUCUUCGCUUUCUGGAUAUUACUUUAAUGCAAUAUAAGAUAAAGACUUGAAACUUAAAAUGUAUCUUUAUCACCAUCAUCUGCAAUAAUAAGUAAUAAUUCCCAUAACUCUGAUUUGUAUUUUUAACCAAAUUAUGCCCCUUUUUUACUUAAAUUGUUUUAACAAACUUCGUUUUCUGGACAUAACUUUAGUACUAUAUAAGAAAAUGACUUGAAACUCAAAAUAUAUCUAUACCAUCAUCAUCUGCAUUUGUUGUAACAAUCCUUAUAACUCUAAUUUGUGUAUUUGAUGGAAUUAUGCCCCUUGGUGUAUCUUCCUUCUAUAGUAGCGGUCUCUUAUUCAGACAUAUAUUCAUUUUACUGUCAGAUCCCCAAAAGUGGAGCGCGCUGUCUUACGGACAGCUCUUGUUAUUAUGGUAAUGACAACAAUUUGUAUUCAAAACUUCAACUAAAUUUUCUAGGUCAGGUAAGGGACAUAUUUUGAAUAAGUUUCUAAAGAAAGUUGAUGGACUGAAAUCAUUAGUUAUCAUCGUAAGAGUUCUUCAACAGCAAUCAUCUUUUUAAAGUACAAUGUAAUCUCUGUUUUCAUCUUGGUUAUUUCUGUUGAUCUGAUGACUGGGAGCACUAUGUGAAGUUUUAAUUAAAUACGUAGUACUUUAUACUAAUCAAUUUUAGGUCGAUUGUGAAACAAGUCCUACAGCAUAUAUUAAUCACUCUCGACACCUCAUUCCUGAUACGAGGGUUUGAAAGAAGAGGCCAGUUUCCCUAUCAGUGCUGAGCGACAAGUAAGGAAGCUACUUGUAUCAUUUUUCACGUCUUUGGUAUGACGCGACCGGGGAUCGAACCAAAGACAUCCCGCACUCGAAGCGAACGCUCUACCACAAGGCUAUCGAGGCGAUUGUUUGCAACGUGAGAAACUCAACAAAUACAUUUUUUUUCUGAGAUACAGCUUAAUAAUAAUUUACAUGUAAAACUUAGAUAUAUUUUCUAAUUUAAGAAAGGACAAUAAUGUGUAUGAGAUUCAAUCAAUAGAUAUUUAACUUGGUUAUUUCCGUAGGUUUCAUGACAAAAAAUGUCUUAUGUAAGGUUUUGAUCCAGCACAUGCAAAGAAUGCCGAGAUAUGACCUUACAUGCAGAUCUGUAGGCAAGGUAUUGAUGUUAACGAAGACGACACUAACAAAGCCAAAACGUUAGCUUUCGAUUUUACUGUUUUGGUUUAUUUGCCGGUCAGUAUUCCAUAAUUGGACAGUUAGACUAUUUUUGUCCCGACAUUUAGUAUCACGAACCAUUAUGUUUUCUCAUUUUCUUUGUAAUCACAAUAACGAAAGUCUGAGGUUUAGUGUUCCCUGACCUCAACAGAAAAUGAUGUUUCAACCAUAAUAACAAUAAAAUCAUAAAAUUACUUGACACAAUGCCUUUUCAUUACAAAUGAUGUUUUAUUACAAGACAGUAUGAGUAUAUCCAUUUUACUGAAUGUUACAUUGAUAAGACAGUAUUGAGCCUGUCCAAUUAAAAAUGUUUAUUUUAAGUAUUGUACUACAAAAAGAAAAUGUCUACUCUCUAUAAAAGUUGACGGUUUUUGGUCAAAUCUCAAGUUAUUGAUCGGAAAUGGUUUUCCUUGUCCUGGCCCCUGUGACCUGGACUUUUAAUAUAGUGACCCCAAAACUAUAGGGUCAUCUUCUUUAUAAGCCCUACCUACAACCCUUCAAAGUUUGAAGGUUCUAGGUCAAAUGGUUCUCCAGAUAGUGAUCGGAAAUGUUUUCCAUAUUCUGGCCUCUGUGACUUUGAGCUUUAAUAGAGUAACCUGAACAUUAAUAGGGGUCAUGAACACUGCAUAUAUUAUCAUUUUAUUAAGUUUCAACAAUCUAGGUCUCCCAUUUUCAGAACCAUGUGACCUUGACCUUUACUGAAGUAAUCCCAAAAUCAAUAGGGGCAAUCUACAUUGCAUAUCCAAUCGUUCUACCAAGUUUCAACAUUCUGGGGAAAGUGGUUUUCAAAUUAUAGAUCAAAAAUUAUUUUCCUUGUUCAGGUCCCUGUGGCGGUGACCUUAAAUAGAGUAAUCCCAAAAUCUUUAGGGAUCAUAUUUACUGCAUAUCAAAUCAUCCUAUGAAGUUUCAAAAUUCUUGAUCAAGUAGUUCUCAAAUUAUUGAUCAGAAAGUGUUUUCCCAUGUGUAGGCCCCUGUGACCUUGACCUUUGAUGCAGUGACUCCAAACAUAAUAGCAAUUGUUUAGUUAAGUCCUAUCACCCUAUGAAGUUUGAAGGUUCUUGGUCAAAUGGCUCUAAAGUUAUUGAUCGGGAAUAGUUUUUCGUGUCCUGGCCCCUAUGACCUUGAUCUUUAAUAGAGAGGCUCCCAGAACUAAAGGGUCAUCUACUGUAUAAGCUCUACCUACAACCCUAUGAAGUUUGAAGGUUCUAUGUUAAAUGGUUCUCCAGAUGGUAAUCGGAAUUGGUUGUACAUAUUUUUUCACCUAUGGUCUUGACCAUUAAUAGCGUAAUCUCAAAAUUAAUAGGGAUCAUGUUAUUUGCAUAUCCAAACACUUUACUAAGUUUCAUUAAUCUGGAUCAAGUAGUUCUCAAGUUAUUGAUCGGUAAUUAUCUCCCGUGUUCAGGCCCCUGUGACCUUGAAUUUUACUAAAGAUACCCCCAAAAUCAAUGGCGGUCCAUGCAUAUUGCAUAUUCAAUCAUCCCAUCAUUUUUCAACAUUCUUGGUCAAGUGGUUCUCAAAUUACUGAUCGGAAAUGGUUUUUCAUGUUCAGGUUGCUGAGACAUUGACCUUUGAUGGUCGUACCACCCUAUGAAGUUUGAGGGUUUUAGUUCAAAUAGUUCUCCAGUUACUGAUCGGACAAGAAAUGUGACGGACGGAUGGACGGACGGUAGUUCCUACAUAAAUGAUAAUUAUGCUGCUACUCAUUUGUCCUCGCUUUUGAUCUUCUAUCCACAUAAAAGAAAAAUAGCCACAUGAAAGCUUACGAAAUGAAUGACGUCAGAGAAAUGUACAGUAUGGACAGAGUAACGAACGAACAGGGGAAACUUAAUAUGUAUCCUUAGUGUGAGGGGGAGACAUAAUUAUAUAGAAUAGACACAAAAUAGAAUGAAGAAAGUACACAGUGCAACAAAAUGUACAAUAUAGCAAAAAUGAAAUAUGAUCUCCUUUAGUACCCGUUUACACUGUUUCUGUUUGAGACAACAGGUUUCUAGCAGAGUCAAUAAAUAAAGACAUGUAAAGCAGAGUUUUUCACUAAUAUAUUCUGGUUUAAAACAAUCAAUAUCAAAACGAAAAUAAACAAAUAAACAAAUGAAAUUUCAAAAUUGUUUGGUGUUCGAAAUGGCAGAAAGGGGGGUCCCAGUUAGGUGUCUGCGCAAAAUGUUUUUUGAUUUUAUUUAUACUUUGUGGUAAUAUACCUACAUGUAUUAAGUUUCAUUAACAAGUGUUACUGUUACCAGUUUUGACUUACUUUUAUAGAUAUUUACAUUUAAAGUGGGUGGGGUAAUCUGACAUGUGACCAGCCAGGAACACAAUUUCUGUUAUUUUUUUAAAAAUGGUUCAAACCUUUUACCUG